rnacentral:rRNA from 1 species
UACGUAGGGUGCGAGCGUUGUCCGGAAUUAUUGGGCGUAAAGGGCUCGUAGGCGGUCUGUUGCGUCGGGAGUGAAAACUCAGGGCUUAACCCUGAGCCUGCUUCCGAUACGGGCAGACUAGAGGUAUGCAGGGGAGAACGGAAUUCCUGGUGUAGCGGUGAAAUGCGCAGAUAUCAGGAGGAACACCAGUGGCGAAGGCGGCACUCUGGGCCGGAACUGACGCUGAGGAGCGAAAGCGUGGGGAGCGAACAGG